GUGGGCAACCUGCCCGCAAGACCGGGAUAACUCCSGGAAACCGGAGCUAAUACCGGAUAACACCAAAGACCGCAUGGUCUUUGGUUGAAAGGCGGCUUCGGCUGYCACUUGCGGAUGGGCCCGCGGCGCAUUAGCUAGUUGGUGAGGUAACGGCUCACCAAGGCGACGAUGCGUAGCCGGCCUGAGAGGGUGACCGGCCACACUGGGACUGAGACACGGCCCAGACUCCUACGGGAGGCAGCAGUAGGGAAUCUUCCGCAAUGGACGAAAGUCUGACGGAGCGACGCCGCGUGAGCGAAGAAGGCCUUCGGGUCGUAAAGCUCUGUUGUGAGGGACGAAGGAGCGCCGUUUGAAUAAGGCGGCGCGGUGACGGUACCUCACGAGAAAGCCCCGGCUAACUACGUGCCAGCAGCCGCGGUAAUACGUAGGGGGCGAGCGUUGUCCGGAAUUAUUGGGCGUAAAGCGCGCGCAGGCGGUCCUUUAAGUCUGAUGUGAAAGCCCACGGCUCAACCGUGGAGGGUCAUUGGAAACUGGGGGACUUGAGUGCAGGAGAGGAGAGCGGAAUUCCACGUGUAGCGGUGAAAUGCGUAGAGAUGUGGAGGAACACCAGUGGCGAAGGCGGCUCUCUGGCCUGUAACUGACGCUGAGGCGCGAAAGCGUGGGGAGCAAACAGAUUAGAUACCCUGGUAGUCCACGCCGUAACGAUGAGUGCUAAGUGUUAGAGGGGUCACACCCU
rnacentral:rRNA from 1 species